UCCUGGCUCAGGAUGAACGCUGGCGGCGUGCUUAACACAUGCAAGUCGAACGGAGUUUUAAGCGGAAGUUUUCGGAUGGAAGUUUAAGAACUUAGUGGCGGACGGGUGAGUAACGCGUGGGUAACCUGCCUCAUACAGGGGGAUAACAGUUAGAAAUGACUGCUAAGACCGCAUAAUAUAGCGAAACCGCAUGAUUUUGCUAUCAAAUAUUUAUAGGUAUGAGAUGGGCCCGCGUCUGAUUAGCUAGUUGGUGGGGUAAAAGCCUACCAAGGCGACGAUCAGUAGCCGGCUUGAGAGAGUGACCGGCCACAUUGGGACUGAGACACGGCCCAAACUCCUACGGGAGGCAGCAGUGGGGAAUAUUGGACAAUGGGGGAAACCCUGAUCCAGCGACGCCCGCGUGAGUGAAGAAGUAUUUCGGUAUGUAAAGCUCUAUCAGCAGGGAAGAUAAUGACAGUACCUGACUAAGAAGCCCCGGCUAACUACGUGCCAGCAGCUGC
rnacentral:rRNA from 1 species